rnacentral:rRNA from 1 species
AGUGAACGCUGGCGGCGUGCUUAACACAUGCAAGUCGAACGAGAACGGGCUAUAGCUUGCUAUAGUUGUCAGCUAAGUGGCGCACGGGUGAGUAAUGUAUAGGUAAUAUGCCUCUUACUAAGGGAUAACAAAUGGAAACGUUUGCUAAUACCUUAUACUCCUUAUUAACAUAAGUUAUUAAGGGAAAGAUUUAUUGGUAAGAGAUUAGCCUGUAUUGUAUCAGUUAGUUGGUGGGGUAAUGGCUUACCAAGACUAUGACACAUAACUGGUUUGAGAGGAUGAUCAGUCACACUGGAACUGAGACACGGUCCAGACUCCUACGGGAGGCAGCAGUGGGGAAUAUUGCACAAUGGACGAAAGUCUGAUGCAGCCACGCCGCGUGGAGGAUGACACAUUUCGGUGCGUAAACUCCUUUUAUAUGAGAAGAUAAUGACGGUAUUAUAUGAAUAAGCACCGGCUAACUCCGUGCCAGCAGCCGCAGUAA